AUGAGGUUCCUCCGAGUGCUUGACUUAGAAGACACACUGGAGUUAAAAGAUCAUCAUCUUGAUGAUAUCGGGCAGUUCCGUCACCUCAAGUAUCUUUCUCUUCGAGGAUGUCGGAACAUUUUAUGCCUGCCUGAUUCUUUGCGAAAUUUGAGGCACCUUGAAAUGCUGGAUAUUAGAGGUACAUGUAUAUAUGAGUUGCCAACAACAAUCACCAACCUUCUGAAGCUACAGCACCUUCAUGCAGAUGAUCGUUUGGACCGUUUGCGUGUUAGGGGAGAGGAUGCCAUAGUUGAUAAGUAUAAACGUUACAUUGGUCGUAUUUCCACAUGUGAAAGAUGCAGCGUUUUGUUGUAUAAAGGUCAUGUUUUCUUGAGACCACAAGUUUUAGAUGCCGGUUUGAACAGGUAUGAUAUAUUCAAUCUAUACCGCUUCCAGGAGAGGAUCCUAGAUGGCAUUAUUCUUCCCAAAGGGAUUGGUAAAUUGAAGACCCUUCAUGCACUAGGUUUCGUUGAUGUUUCUGGGAGAAAUGGAAAUGCCACUGUAAAAGAGUUUGGAGAGCUUACUCAGCUAUGUAAGCUUAAAGUGGGUGGUCUGAGCUAUAGAAACAUCAGUGAGUUAUGGUCUGCCAUUGCUGGUCAUAAUCAACUUCAAUCUUUAUCAGUUGAAAUGGGUUACCCAUACGAAGAGAGGAAUGUGUUAGAUGGCUGUUUGGGUGAAGGUUUGCUGCCACCAAGCAGCCUCGAGAGCCUCACUCUGCAUGGUAAGCUAGUCAAUGUAACAGGAUGGACCCAUACGCUUCAGAAUCUCUCCAAGUUGGUGCUAAAGUGGAGCAGAUUGAAGCAAGAUGAUGAUGCCAUACAAGCCCUUGGGUUACUUCCAAAUCUUGCAGUUCUACGUCUGGGGGUGGAUUCGUUGUAUGGGACACAACUCCAUUUCGAGAGCUCAUCUUUCCCGAGUCUCAUGGUGCUGGAGUUGUAUGGGUUAGGCAACCUCAGGUCGGCGCUGUUUGAAAAAGACGCAGUGCCUAAGCUCGAGCUGCUACAAGUUGGUCGGUGCGCAGAGCUGGAAGCAUUCUGUGGGCUGCCAGCCCUCACAAGCCUCAAGGAGAUUCAGUUGGAUAGUCAUUGUCUCAGUGAAACAUUGAAAGAAUUGGUGCAGAGUCAGGUAGCCGAGCAUAUGAAGCAUGUCAGAGUGAAUUUUGUUGACUUGUAA
rnacentral:rRNA from 1 species